AACUCUCUCUCUUUCUGAUUGAGUGUAAGCUGCUAUAUGAAGGGAUCCACAAGACGAAUAAUUAAGGGGGACCUCUGAUCAACAGCCAGCAAGGAACUGAAUCCCUCAGACCCACAACUCACAAGAAACUGAAGCUGAAGCAGAUUCUUCCUCAGUCAAGCUUCAGGACCUGCUUUGCAGAAAGGAUCUCAUUGAGAAUAGCAAAAGGAAGUUGGGAACCAUUACAGUGCCCAGCUGUAUUGGUAGAGGAGACCAACCACACCCUCCACAGCACAGCACCUGGAGAGGAACUGCUGCCAUGACCAUAGAGGACACCCUCUGGAUACAAUGCCAGACUUGAUGUGGGACUGACCAACCUAUGGACCCCAGGCACCACCACCCAGACCUGCUCAGCACCUGAAACAUUCACAGCCGUGGAGAGAGAACUGUUCACUGCUACCAUCCACACUUCUGGGCCCCUUCAGCAGCAGGGUGACAAGGAAGAGGGAAAUCGACUUGGAAAAGAGGGGACCUCUGACCCAAGAGUUCGGUCAAUGCAUAUGUUGGCAGCCAGCUGCACAUCGCACCAAAUAUGAACUUCAAAUAGAAGAAAGCCUCAUUUGGAAGAAAGCUCAUGCACAGACUGUAAAUAUUUCAGAGCAGAUUGUGUCUCUGUAGAUUAACAUCAAUUUUGCAGCAGCCAUGGCUUGUCCUAUGAGAGAUGAUUCUACCACAAGAACCCAACCACAAGGACGGCUCCUCUUUGAAGUUUUUACAGUCGAUCUCUGGAUCAGCCAGCGAAGUCCUGCUCCCAGGAUCCAGGGAGAGACCAUGGGUGCCCUCUAGGGCAUGGUACAAAGGGAGGAUUUGUUCCAGUAGAGAAUAGAAUAGGCCUUUUCUUUCACCUUUUGGUUUCCAGGUGCUGAACUACAUGUAGGAGUCUUGGUAGUAAAACCAAGCUUAAUGGUUAUUGAAAUAGAACUACCAGAGAGGUGGUAGAAGCACAUGUUUUGUACAAGUUGGUUAACUGCCAGCAGCUUUGAAUCGUGUAACUGCUUACAAAAAAUUUCACAUGGUCCAGGAAUAAGAGGAAACAAAUGUAUGAAAAACAAAUUCCCAGAUACUUACAUUUAAAAUAAAAAGCAAACUAACAAUAA
rnacentral:lncRNA from 1 species